UAGUCAUAUGCUUGUCUCAAAGAUUAAGCCAUGCAUGUCUCAGUGUAAACUUUUAAACGGUGAAACUGCGAAUGGCUCAUUAUAACAGUUAUAGUUUAUUUGAUGUUCAUUCUUACAUGGAUAACCGUGGGAAUUCCAGGGCUAAUACAUGCGGCUCGAAAGAGCGAGUGUUUAUUAGAUUCAAACCAAAACCGUGUCAAAGCGGGAUAAUUGGAAUGAUAAUAACCUAUCGAAUCGCAUGCCGUAUGGCGGCGAUAGAUCAUUCAAGUUUCUGAC
rnacentral:rRNA from 1 species